rnacentral:rRNA from 1 species
UACAGAGGGUGCGAGCGUUGUCCGGAAUCACUGGGCGUAAAGGCGCGUAGGCGGCCUGCUAAGUAGAGGGUGAAAUCCUGCGGCUCAACCGCAGGGCUGCCUUCUAAACUGUCAGGCUGGAGCACGGUAGAGGCAGAUGGAAUUCCCGGUGUAGCGGUGGAAUGCGUAGAGAUCGGGAAGAACACCAGUGGCGAAGGCGGUCUGCUGGGCCGUUGCUGACGCUGAGGCGCGACAGCGUGGGGAGCAAACAGG